CUAGGAUGAACGCUAGCGACAGGCCUAACACAUGCAAGUCGAGGGGCAGCACAAGGAGCAAUCUGAGGUGGCGACCGGCGCACGGGUGAGUAACACGUAUGCAACCUGCCUGUAAGCGGGGAAUAACCCGUUGAAAGACGGACUAAUACCGCAUAAUACUAAAUUACUGCAUGGUAAUUUAUUUAAACAUUUAUGGCUUACAGAUGGGCAUGCGCAUGAUUAGCUAGUUGGAGAGGUAACGGCUCCCCAAGGCAACGACCAUUAGGGGUUCUGAGAGGAAGGUCCCCACACUGGUACUGAGACACGGACCAGACUCCUACGGGAGGCAGCAGUGAGGAAUAUUGGUCAAUGGACGAGAGUCUGAACCAGCCAAGUCGCGUGCAGGAAGAAUGUCCUAUGGAUUGUAAACUGCUUUUGCAGGGGAAUAAAGUGCAUCACGUGUGAUGUUUUGUAUGUACUCUGCGAAUAAGGAUCGGCUAACUCCGUGCCAGCAGCUGC
rnacentral:rRNA from 1 species